rnacentral:rRNA from 1 species
UCAGAACGAACGCUGGCGGCAGGCCUAAAACAUGCAAGUUGAACGGCCAUAGCAAUAUGGCAGUAGCGCAAGGGUGAGUAAUGUAUGGGAACGUAUCUUUUGGUGGGGAAUAUUCUUUGGAAACGAAGAGCAAUACCGCAUAAGCCCUACGGGGGAAAGAUUUAUCGCCGAUUGAGCGGCCCAUAUUGGAUUAGCUAGUUGGUUAGGUAACGGCUGACCAAGGCUGUGAUCCAUAGCUGGUCUGAGAGGACGAUCAGCCACACUGGGACUGAGACACGGCCCAGACUCCUACGGGAGGCAGCAGUUAGGAAUAUUGGACAAUGGGGGCAACCCUGAUCCCAGCCAUGCCGCGUGAGUGUUAAGGCCUUCGGGUUGUAAAGCUCUUUUGUAUGGGAAAAUGAUGAUGGUACCAUAAGAAUAAGCACCGGCUAACUUCGUGCCAGCCGCCGC